GCACUUCGGCCCGUUAACGUCUGCUCUGUAGCUACGAAAGCUUUUCGUUUCAUUGACGUAACCACGCGGUCGAUUCUCCAAUGAGUACAUAAGUUUUUUUCAUGUUCAACAGUAAUAUUGUUUCGAUUUUUCAUUAAUGUGACGUGUAGUGAGUGUAAAAAAUAUUGGAUAACGAGAGUGUAACGUGAGAUCGGUUUGAGAAGAAUUUAUUGAAGCAAACUUUCGUAUCUUGACCAGUGAUUUACCCUCUGCGACUUUUCGGAUCAACUCGCGCUUGAGUGAAUUGGAAUUUUUUACUAUAUGGAUUCUCUCAUCUCAUAGUGUGAUAAUAAAACCAUGGAACAACGUCUACCUUGGAGUCUGAAAUGAUAAAUCUGACAUCCGACACCAGGAUUAAAAAACAACGGAGAUUUUAACAUUCAAAAUGCAUCUCUUUAUUCUUUCG